rnacentral:lncRNA from 1 species
AGACUUCAUGUCUCUGGUGACAUGAAGCUGUAGUUAGGUCUGAGAGGCGAGAUGAAGAUGAGGGAGUGUGAAUAAGAGAUGCGCUUGAUCGCCAUUUCCUCGUCGCCGACCUCUUGGCGGUGGCGCUCCUAGCCCUCUCCGAAGGGCUGGCCUCCGCCUCCGCCCCUGCCGCUUCCGUCGUUGGUCGUCGAUCCUCGUGUCCAGAUCAAGGUCCGCGAGGUCGGCAACCGGACCGCCAUGUCCAAGGCGAAACCGAUGUCGGCGUCGUCCAGCUCAAGGAGUACUGGGAUUACGAGUCCAUACAAUGAGGUAAGCGAGAUUCCCAAUCCCUACCCAAAUUCUGACCCUAAUUCCUUUCUUUCGUGUUUGGGUUUGAUAGACUAUGUAGCGAUGUUGGGGUUACAUGAAAUGGUUAACUGAACUGCGGUUCAUGGAGAUUUUUGUUUUUUCCUUCGGUGAUGAUUUCUUGAGUAUAGAGGAAACCUAUUUCGUGUGCUUCAUAUGUAGUUGAAUCGAUCUGCUGGUUUCUAUACUUUGACGUGUUUCUUGGAUGAUUGUUAGUUUCUUGGCGUUUUCAUGUUUCAGAUUCUUAUUCACAGUUGAUAACCAGGCCCUGAGAAUCUUGGGCUUGUCAAGAAAUUCCGAGAUAUGAGGAUAUUGGUUCUCGAUUUGUAAUAUAUGGAUCUCUGCCGCCGUAGUCUCUGUUAGUCUUGAUCGGGUUAUUGCAGUCCCCACUGUCGGUGGGGCAUGUGAGGUUUCGAAGCCUUACCCAAUCCCUUGCUCUGAUUCGUUUCUUUUUUGUUUGGGCUUCAUAGAUUAUGUAGCGAUGCUUGGGUUUACAUAAGAUGGUAACCUUUUCAUUGGAUUUCUCUAGCUAAAGAUUAAAGUUGCAAUGGAUUUAUAUUUUGAUGAUUUCUUUAGCAUUUCACGUACCUACUUUGUAUACUUCACAUAUAGUUCAAUCAAUCUGUUGGAAGCUAUACUUUGGCAUGUUUCUUGAAUGGUUGUUAGUUUCUUGAUGUUUUCAUGUCUCAGAUUCUUAAUUACAAUUGAUAAGCAGGCCCUGAGAAUCUUGGGCUUACCAAGAAAUUCCGAAGCAUAAGGAUCUUGGUUCUUGUUUUGGUGAAGAAUUGAUUUGUAACGUAUAGAUCUUUUAUGCCUAUAAUUCUUCAUCGAGUUAUUGCAGUACCCAAUCGGAAACCUUGCCCAAACCAUGUACCUAGCUAGUUCCGAUCCUUUUUGUUUGGACUUGAUAGAUCAUGUAGCGAUGUUGGGGUUAACAUCAGAUGGUUAACCUUUUCAAUAGAUCACCUUGGAUUUAUUUUUUGAUGAUUUCUUUAGCAUUUCACAUACCUACUUCUAAUACUUCAUAUUAUGGUUGAAUCAAUCUGAUAUCUUUCUUUGGAUGAUUGUUAGUUUCUUGGUGCUUUUAUCGUUCGGAUUCUUAUUUAUAGUUGAAAACCAG